rnacentral:rRNA from 1 species
GUCUUUUUGARUUUAAUUUAAAGUCUGACCUGCCCAAUGAUUUAUUUAAUGGCCGCAGUAAUUUGACUGUGCAAAGGUAGCAUAAUCAUUAGUUUUUUAAUUGAAAGCUGGAAUGAAUGGUCGAAUAAAAUGAUAACUGUCUCGGUUUAAUUGAUUUAGAAUUUUAUUUUUAAGUUAAAAAGCUUAAAUAUUAUUAAAAGACGAGAAGACCCUAUAGAGUUUAACAUUAAAUAAAAUUUUUAUUUUUUGGUAUUUAUWAAUUUAAUUAGUAUUUAUUGUUUAAUUGGGGUGAUUAUAAAAUUAAGAUAACUUUUAUUUUAUUUUUACAUAGAUUUAUGAAUAAAUGAUCCUUUAUUUUGGAGUAUAAGAUUAAAUUACCUUAGGGAUAACAGCGUUAUUUUUUUUUAGAGUUCAAAUCGAAAAAAGAGAUUGCGACCUCGAUGUUGGAUUAAAGUUGAUCUUAGGUGUAGAGGCUUAAAGAUCAGGUCUGUUCGACCUUUAAAACUUUACA